CUGGACAAGCAUAGAACAUGCAAUGUCUAGAUUUGUUUGGUUUACUUCGGAUCAGCUGUCCAAAUCCUUAUUAUUUGAAUCUGUUUCCUUUGGAGAUUUUAUUCUCGGGACCGAAGAUUUAGAUGGAUCUGUUUUGAAAACAGCCAGGUUGAGCGUGCCUGGAUUAUAACUUUUCAACAGACGUCUAAAUUGAAUCCGCCGUCCGGCUCUUCUUGUUCUUUUCGGCAUGAGAGAUUUUUAGGCUCAAUACCCCUUGGCAAUCGGCUAACAAGAGGCUCAGCGAAAGAUUGUCUGAUUGGAGGCUAACAUGCCCGACAAAGACAGCACGUGAAAUCCAUGUGGAUUCCACAUUGAUGAUCUACGUGGAAUCCAUGUGGAUAAUCGAGUGGAUAUCCCCUUAAAAACGGUAGUCGAAUCCACGUGGAUUCGAUCAUCGAUGUGACGUGGAUUCCACGUAAAAAUUUCGCCAUAUCUGUGUAAUAUUCACGUAGUAUUUACAUGUAAUCGUUUCAUAAUAUUGCAAAGUUGUAUAUAAAAAAUGUA